GCAGGCAUGGAGAAACGGUGUCUCGCUGGGCUCAUAACCCGGAUAUCGGAGGGUUCGACUCCCUCGCCUGCUACCA
rnacentral:tRNA from 4 species